UUGUACAUCACAAGCAGAGUCUCAUUCAGAAAGGUGACAGCCACAGUCUCUCCUGUGCAUCCAUCCCAUCAGGGUCUCCCUGAGGGCCUUGACCCCUGGAUUGGUCUGCAUUUCCCUGAUUUUUAAUGAAGUUCAUUUGUUUGGGGGCCAUUUGUAAUUUGGCUAUGAAUUGCUUAUUCAUGUCUUUCACCCAUUUUUCUGAGAGAUGGUCUUUUUCUUUGUUUAAAAAAAUAAAUACUAACACUUUGCUUCUUAAAAAAAAAAAAGAGUUGACUU
rnacentral:lncRNA from 1 species